CGGGUGGCUGCACCAGUGGGGAAUAUUGCACAAUGGAGGAAACUCUGAUGCAGCAACGCCGCGUGGAGGAUGACACUUUUCGGAGCGUAAACUCCUUUUAUAUAGGAAGAAGAUGACGGUACUAUAUGAAUAAGCGCCGGCUAACUCCGUGCCAGCAGCCGCGGUAAUACGGAGGGCGCAAGCGUUACUCGGAAUCACUGGGCGUAAAGAGCGCGUAGGCGGAUUAAAAAGUCAGAAGUGAAAUCCUAUAGCUUAACUAUAGAACUGCUUCUGAAACUCUUAAUCUAGAAUAUGGGAGAGGUAGAUGGAAUUUCUGGUGUAGGGGUAAAAUCCGUAGAGAUCAGAAGGAAUACCGAUUGCGAAGGCGAUCUACUAGAACAUUAUUGACGCUGAGACGCGAAAGCGUGGGGAGCAAACAGGAUUAGAUACCCUCGUAGUC
rnacentral:rRNA from 1 species